rnacentral:rRNA from 1 species
AUUGAACGCUGGCGGCAUGCUUUACACAUGCAAGUCGAACGGCAGCACGGGGUAACCCUGGUGGCGAGUGGCGAACGGGUGAGUAAUGCAUCGGAACAUAUCUUAAAGUGGGGAAUAACGCAUCGAAAGGUGUGCUAAUACUCCAUAUACUCUAAGGAGGAAAGCGGGGGAUCGAAAGACCUCGUGCUUUAAGGGUGGCCGAUGUCUGAUUAGCUAGUUGGUGGGGUAAAGGCUUACCAAGGCGACGAUCAGUAGCUGGUCUGAGAGGACGAUCAGCCACACUGGGACUGAGACACGGCCCAGACUCCUACGGGAGGCAGCAGUGGGGAAUAUUGGACAAUGGGGGCAACCCCUGAUCCAGCCAUGCCGCGUGAGUGAAGAAGGCCCUCGGGUUUAAAGCUCUUUUGUCCGGAAAGAAAAGCAUCUGGUUAAUACCCGGGGUGUUCUGACGGUACCGGAAGAAUAAGCACCGGCUAACUUCGUGCCAGCAG